UGUAAAGUUACUAAAAAAGAAGAUUGGCACUCACAUCCGUGCCAAGAGAAAGAGGGAGGAGCUGAGCAACGUUCUGGCUGCCAUGAGGAAAGCUGCUGCCAAGAAGGACUAAUCUGUCACUUAAUAAACGUUUUCUAAACUCUGAAA